rnacentral:rRNA from 1 species
UACAGAGGUCUCAAGCGUUGUUCGGAUUCAUUGGGCGUAAAGGGUGCGUAGGCGGCGCGGUAAGUCGGGUGUGAAAUCUCGGGGCUUAACUCCGAAACUGCAUUCGAUACUGCCGUGCUUGAGGACUGGAGAGGAGACUGGAAUUUACGGUGUAGCGGUGAAAUGCGUAGAUAUCGUAAGGAAGACCAGUGGCGAAGGCGGGUCUCUGGACAGUUCCUGACGCUGAGGCACGAAAGCGAGGGGAGCAAACGGG